UACGUAGGCAGCGAGCGUUGUUCGGAGUUACUGGGCGUAAAGGGUGUGUAGGCGGUUCUUUUAAGUUUGGUGUGAAAUCUCCCGGCUCAACCGGGAGGGUGCGCCGAAUACUGAGGGACUCGAGUGCGGGAGAGGAAAGUGGAAUUCCUGGUGUAGCGGUGAAAUGCGUAGAUAUCAGGAGGAACACCGGUGGUGUAGACGGCUUUCUGGACCGUAACUGACGCUGAGACACGAAAGCGUGGGUAGCAAACAGG
rnacentral:rRNA from 1 species